rnacentral:rRNA from 1 species
CCUACGGGUGGCAGCAGUGAGGAAUAUUGGCCAAUGGACGAGAGUCUGAACCAGCCAAGUAGCGUGAAGGAUGACUGCCCUAUGGGUUGUAAACUUCUUUUAUAUGGGAAUAAAAUGUUCCACGUGUGGGAUUUUGUAUGUACCAUAUGAAUAAGGAUCGGCUAACUCCGUGCCAGCAGCCGCGGUAAUACGGAGGAUCCGAGAGUUAUCCGGAUUUAUUGGGUUUAAAGGGAGCGUAGGUGGAUUGUUUAGUCAGUUGUGAAAGUUUGCGGCUCAACCGUAAAAUUGCAGUUGAAACUGGCAGUCUUGAGUACAGUAGAGGUGGGCGGAAUUCGUGGUGUAGCGGUGAAAUGCUUAGAUAUCACGAAGAACUCCGAUUGCGAAGGCAGUUCACUGGACUGCAACUGACACUGAGGCUCGAAAGUGUGGGUAUCAAACAGGAUUAGAUACCCGGGUAGUC